UACGUAGGGUGCAAGCGUUGUCCGGAAUUAUUGGGCGUAAAGAGCUCGUAGGCGGUCUGUCGCGUCGGCUGUGAAAACCCGGGGCUCAACCCCGGGCCUGCAGUCGAUACGGGCAGACUAGAGUGCGGUAGGGGAGACUGGAAUUCCUGGUGUAGCGGUGAAAUGCGCAGAUAUCAGGAGGAACACCGGUGGCGAAGGCAGCUUGCUGGGCCAUAUCUGACGCUGAGACACGAAAGCGUGGGGGAGCGAACAGG
rnacentral:rRNA from 1 species